rnacentral:rRNA from 1 species
GCAGUCGAGCGGAGAAUGCAAGAUGUUUACAUUGCGCAUUCUUAGCGGCGGACGGGUGAGUAACACGUGGGUAACCUGCCUCAAAGUGGGGGAUAGCCUUUCGAAAGGAAGAUUAAUACCGCAUAAGCUUGUAGCAUCGCAUGGUGCAGCAAGAAAAGGAGCAAUCCGCUUUGAGAUGGACCCGCGGCGCAUUAGCUAGUUGGUGAGGUAACGGCUCACCAAGGCGACGAUGCGUAGCCGACCUGAGAGGGUGAUCGGCCACAUUGGAACUGAGACACGGUCCAGACUCCUACGGGAGGCAGCAGUGGGGAAUAUUGCACAAUGGGCGAAAGCCUGAUGCAGCAACGCCGCGUGAGUGAUGAAGGCUUUCGAGUCGUAAAGCUCUUUGAUCAGGGAUGAUAAUGACAGUACCUGAAAAACAAGCCACGGCUAACUACGUGCCA